rnacentral:rRNA from 1 species
CCGUAGUCAUUCAUCCCAUGCCGCCAAGAAAAACUUCUAAACGAGAACCCGUGGCGACCGUACCGUAAACCGACACAGGUGGGCAAGGUGAGUAACCUGAGGCGCUCGAGAUAACUGUUGCUAAGGAACUCGGCAAGUUAGCCCCGUAACUUCGGAAGAAGGGGCGCCUCUCGGGGUGAAGGUCCUGCGACUGGAGCUCUGAGAGGCCGCAGUGAAGAGG